rnacentral:rRNA from 1 species
UAAUCCGGGUUGCGGACAGUGUCUGGUGGGUAGUUUGACUGGGGCGGUCUCCUCCUAAAGAGUAACGGAGGAGCACGAAGGUCAGCUAAUCCUGGUCGGACAUCAGGAGGUUAGUGCAAUGGCAUAAGCUGGCUUGACUGCGAGCGUGACGGCGCGAGCAGGUGCGAAAGCAGGUCAUAGUGAUCCGGUGGUUCUGAAUGGAAGGGCCAUCGCUCAACGGAUAAAAGGUACUCCGGGGAUAACAGGCUGAUACCGCCCAAGAGUUCAUAUCGACGGCGGUGUUUGGCACCUCGAUGUCGGCUCAUCACAUCCUGGGGCUGAAGUAGGUCCCAAGGGUAUGGCUGUUCGCCAUUUAAAGUGGUACGCGAGCUGGGUUUAGAACGUCGUGAGACAGUUCGGUCCCUAUCUGCCGUGGGCGCUGGAGAAUUGAGGGGGGCUGCUCCUAGUACGAGAGGACCGGAGUGGACGCAUCACUGGUGUUCGGGUUGUCAUGCCAAUGGCAUUGCCCGGUAGCUAAAUGCGGAAGAGAUAAGUGCUGAAAGCAUCUAAGCACGAAACUUGCCCCGAGAUGAGUUCUCCCUGACUCCUUGAGAGUCCUGAAGGAACGUUGAAGACGACGACGUUGAUAGGCCGGGUGUGUAAGCGCAGCGAUGCGUUGAGCUAACCGGUACUAAUGAACCGUGAGGCUUAACCUU